rnacentral:rRNA from 1 species
UACGGAGGGUGCAAGCGUUAUCCGGAUUCACUGGGUUUAAAGGGUGCGUAGGUGGUUCUGUAAGUCAGUGGUGAAAUCCCCGAGCUUAACUUGGGAACUGCCAUUGAUACUAUAGAUCUUGAAUACUGUGGAGGUCAGCGGAAUAUGUCAUGUAGCGGUGAAAUGCUUAGAUAUGACAUAGAACACCAAUUGCGAAGGCAGCUGGCUAGACAAAUAUUGACACUGAGGCACGAAAGCGUGGGGAUCAAACAGG